rnacentral:rRNA from 1 species
UACGUAUGGUGCAAGCGUUAUCCGGAUUUACUGGGCGUAAAGGGAGCGCAGGCGGUGCGCCAAGUCUGAUGUGAAACCCCGGGGCUCAACCCCGGGCAUGCAUUGGAAACUGGCGGGCUGGAGUGCCGGAGAGGUAAGCGGAAUUCCUAGGGUAGCGGUGAAAUGCGUAGAUAUUAGGAGGAACACCAGUGGCGAAGGCGGCUUACUGGACGGCAGCUGACGCUGAGGCUCGAAAGCGUGGGGAGCAAACAGG